AAAGAAGACGACGAAAACACCGGGAACAAAAAAGAAAUCAUUCGUUCUUCUUGGGACCACAGCCAUAGCUGUCGAAAGUACCAUCAUCCAAAUACAUUUAGUCGUGCAGGGCAGGGGUGGCAAUGACGUCAAGCCAACGUGAACCAAUGAAUUGUCUCUUAGUCGAAUUUCUGGGGGUUAGGAUGAUCAGUAUUGGGCAUGCCUCGAGGGAUCGUGCUGAUAUUUCAGGAGUGGGGAUUGCUAUAGUAUGCCUCCAGAUAAUACCGAAAGAAUUAUUGUUAGGUUUUACGAAGCAGAUACGCUCAGUAACUGAACAGCAGCGAUGGUAAACGUCGAGAAUCCUGCUUGGACAACGAAGGAAGAGUCGCGAUACAGUUGACAGAGGCAAUGGAAAAUGAAGAGAUAUUCUGGGAUCGAAGCACAAAUGAAAGAGUUGUACGCUAUGCAGCAGCAACUUCUGGAGAUGAUGGAAAAAAAACUUGAUAUGGAACUGCUAAUCCAAGAACCACCCUUAAGAAGCAUGCCAUUAAGAAGAGGGAAGAAAUGUUAACGUUUUGAUGAAAAAGAUCAAAGAGAUGCAAGACUGCCAUGCUGGAACGACAAGGUGAACUGAGGAAUCAUUUGAUCAUCAAUGUUCGAUGAUCAAGUUCGCUGAUCGAAAAACAGCAUGAUGAAGUUGACGGUGAUGUUUCGGAGUUACCAGGGAAAUUAUCUAUAAACGAGAAACCACACAAGGAAUCGGACAAUCUAAAUCUUUAUGUAUUUUUGAACAGAAAAGUAUAAAAAUCAAAGAACAAAAAAUAAUAACAAUUUAAAAAUUACGAAAAGAAAAGAAAAGUUGCUAAGGUAUGUAGUGUGUAAGAUAAACAACAUCGUAAAUAUUAUUUCAACUCGGAGUACAAUGAAUGUAUGUGAAGGAAUAAGUGAGAUAGAUAAUAAAUUAUUAGAAAGUGCAUAGUAAAGUGUGUGAAAUGUAUCGGCAAAGUGUAGCCAACUGAUGGUAAGUGAUUUAAAAGAAAAGAAAAGAUGAUACGACGUUAAAGAGCGUGAAAAAAAAAAACAUUCGGGAAUAAAUAUAUCUGCAGAAUGGUGGAGGAUACGUUUGAAGGUCUAGUGUUAAUUAGUUAUGUAUAUUUGUAUGAGACAAAUUGAUCGAAGGUCGAAGUAAUCAAUAGGACAAAGAGCAAUAUGAAUUACCAAAUGCGUAUGCACGAAUGUGAA